rnacentral:rRNA from 1 species
CGGGUGAGUAACGCGUGAGUAACCUGCCCUAGAGUGGGGGACAACAGUUGGAAACGACUGCUAAUACCGCAUAAGCCCACAGGUCGGCAUCGACCAGAGGGAAAAGGAGCAAUCCGCUUUGAGAUGGCCUCGCGUCCGAUUAGCUAGUUGGUGAGGUAAUGGCCCACCAAGGCAACGAUCGGUAGCCGGACUGAGAGGUUGAACGGCCACAUUGGGACUGAGACACGGCCCAG